rnacentral:rRNA from 1 species
AUACGUAGGUGACAAGCGUUAUCCGGAAUUACUGGGCGUAAAGGGCGCGUAGGCGGCGCUUCAAGUCGUCUGUCAAAUGGGAGGGCUUAACCCUUUUUCGCAGACGAAACUGGAGAGCUUGAGAAGCAGAGAGGCAAACAGAAUUCCUGGUGUAGCGGUGAAAUGCGUAGAUAUCAGGAAGAAUACCAGUGGCGAAGGCGGUUUGCUGGCUGCAUACUGACGCUGAAGCGCGAAAGCCAGGGGAGCAAACGGGAUUAGAUACCCCGGUAGUCCUGGCAGUAAACGAUGUAUGCUGGGUGUGAGACUAGCGAUAGUUUCGUGCCGAAGUUAACGCGAUAAGCAUACCGCCUGGGGAGUACGGUCGCAAGAUUGAAACUCAAAUGAAUUGGCGGGG